GACAGAGGGUGCAAACGUUGUUCGGAAUUACUGGGCGUAAAGCGUGUGUAGGCGGCUACGAAAGUCGGAUGUGAAAUCCCCGGGCUCAACCCGGGAAGUGCACCCGAAACUGUGUGGCUUGAGUACCGGAGAGGUUGGUGGAAUUCUCGGUGUAGAGGUGAAAUUCGUAGAUAUCGAGAGGAACACCGGUGGCGAAGGCGGCCAACUGGACGAGUACUGACGCUGAGACACGAAAGCGUGGGGAGCAAACAGG
rnacentral:rRNA from 2 species